UUGUUAAAUUAAUUCUUGAAGAGUUCUCUCGAAGGACUUCUUUGAGGAAUUUUGCUGAGAAGGCGGUUGGAAUGAGUGGUUCUUUGGAGCAAUGCCAAGGCAUGAGGAUCUGAGAAAUCUGCUCGAGGUGUAAGGACUCGGCCAUACAGAGGAGACGUGCAAAGGAGGCCGUGCGAUGAGCCACUCAUGGGAGCCCCAACUCUCUGGCCUAUUCUAGAAGCUUCUGGUGCUCACAUCUGCUGUACUCUUUUUUUUUUGGUGUUUUGGGCCUCGGGUUUGGGCUAUUAGAAUUGGGUUUUAAGAUUAUUUAAUUGGAUCAGAUUUUAUGUAAUUGGGUUAGGGGAUGUUUGUUUAAUUGGGUUAGAAAAUGUGUUUGGGCUGCUUUUAAUUUAGUUUAUUAUUUGGGCCUGAUGGUGUGUAAAACUUGGACAUUAUUAUGGAUAUUUGGACUUUAAUUUUUUAGUUUA